AUAGGACUUCCAGUACUAUGUUGAAGAGGAGUCGUGAAAGUGGGCGUUCCUCUCUUGCUUCAGAUAAAAAAUCUGUUAGAAUAACAUAGAAGACAAUGGAAGGGAAGAGGAGGAGAGGAGAGGAGACCAUCUCAUAAAGAUUGUAGAAGACCUUCAGUCCUGCAUCCACAAAGUCAAAAUUACAUAAAUCGAUAGUUCCAGGAUGUGCGUACAGUUUCAUCAAAUCAAUACUUUUCAGUGACGACAUGCAUUCUCUAAAGUGCAUUUCAUUAAGGAAGAAGAAAGGAAAGAGCAAAAGAGAGGGUUGAAAUUAACUUACAGUGGAUCAUGGAGCAAAACAGAAGAUAAGAAAUGUAUUCAAGAAAAUAUGGAAGAAAAUCUUUUGUUUUCAAGCAUAGAAAAAGAUUUCCUAGGAUGCAAAAAGCACAAACCAUGGAAAAAAUCAUAAGCUUCAUCAAACUUGAAAUAUUUUGGUCUCUGAAAGACACUAGUCACUAUCACAUACUUGAAAAAGAUAAAUUACAAAGUGGAAGAAAAUAUAAGCAAGGGAGUGCUUCCAAGAUGGCCUAGUCGGAACAGCUCCAGUCUGCAGCUCCCAGCGAGAUGGACACAGAAGACGGGUGAUUUCUGCAUUUCCAACAGAGGUACCUGGUUCAUCUCACUGGGACUGGUUGGACAGUGGGUGCAGCCCAUGGACGGCGAGCCAAAGCAGGGCAGGGCAUCACCUCACCUGGGAAGUGCAAGGCGUCAGGGGAUUUCCCUUUCCUAGCCAAGGGAAACCGUGACUGACUGUACCUGGAAAAACAGUACACUCCUGACAAAAUACUGUGCCUUUUGAUGGUCUUAGCAACUGCAGACCAAGAGAUACUCUCCUGUGCCUGGCUCAGCAGGUCCCAUGCCCACAGAGGCUUGCUCACUACGAGCGCAGCAGUCUGAGAUCCACCUGUGAGGCUGCAGCCUGGCAGGGGGAGGGAUGUCUGCCAUUGUUGAGGCUUGAGUAGGUAAACAAAGUGGCCGGGAAGCUCUAAAUGGGUGGAGCCCACUGCAACUCAGCAAGGCCUACUGCCUCUAUAGACUCUACCUCUGUGGGCAGGGCAUAGCUGAACAAAAGGCAGCAGACAACUUCUGCAGACUUAAACAUCCCUGUCUGACAGCCCUGAAGAGAGCAAUGGUUCUCCAGCACAGCGUUCAAGCUCCGAGAAUGGAUAGACUGCCUCCUCAAGUGUGUCCCUGACCCCCAUGUAGCCUGAAUGGGAGGCACCUCCCAAU
rnacentral:lncRNA from 10 species